rnacentral:rRNA from 1 species
UACCCGCAGCCCCAAGUGGUCGUCGUUGUUAUUGGGCCUAAAACGUCCGUAGCCGGUUGCCAAAAUGCCCGGGUAAAUCGACGCGCUCAACGCGUCGAAUUCCAGGUAGACUCGGCAGCUAGGGACCGGGAGAGGUUCGGGGUACUCCGUGGGUAGAGGUGAAAUUCUGUAAUCCUCGGGGGACCACCGGUGGCGAAGGCGCCGAACUAGAACGGAUCCGACGGUGAGGGACGAAGCCCUGGGGCGCAAACGGGAUUAGAAACCCCGGUAGU